CCUACGGGAGGCAGCAGUAAGGAAUAUUGGACAAUGGUCGCAAGACUGAUCCAGCCAUGCCGCGUGCAGGAUGACAGCCCUAUGGGUCGUAAACUGCUUUUGUGCGAACGAAAAAACCCCUCUACGUGUAGAGGGCUGAUUGUAUCGUAAGAAUAAGGAUCGGCUAACUCCGUGCCAGCAGCCGCGGUAAUACGGAGGAUCCAAGCGUUAUCCGGAUUCAUUGGGGUUUAAAGGGUGCGUAGGCGGAAUGAUAAGUCAGUGGUGAAAGCCUGCAGCUUAACUGCAGAACUGCCAUUGAUACUGUCAAUCUUGAGUACAUUUGAUGUGGGACGGAAUGUGUCAUGUAGCGGUGAAAUGCUUAGAUAUGACACAGAACACCGAUUGCGAAGGCAGCUCACAAACUGUAACUGACGCUGAGGCACGAAAGCGUGGGUAUACAAACAGGAUUAGAUACCCUGGUAGUCCACGCUGUAAACUUAUAUAUACUCUGUGUUGUGAUACACUAGUAGACGUAACGUAGUAGAAGAGUAGUUAAGUUAAGUACCGCCGNGGG
rnacentral:rRNA from 1 species